rnacentral:rRNA from 1 species
UCAUAUGUACAUGCCUACAACGUUAAUACACUAGAUAAAUCUACAGUUAAGCGUGUUUGGGCUAGAAUAAUACUGGGAUAGGUGACCUCCCGGGAAGUCUUGGUAUUUUACAUGCC